rnacentral:misc_RNA from 1 species
AAAAAAUCAAAAUUUCAAAACUGCAAUAGGCCCCUCCCCCUCCCGAUGGUCUCUCUCUCCCUCACGUCUUCGUCCCUCUCCCUUUCUUUUUGCUUCGACGAGACCAGCUCUAGCCCUGGCGAGGUUCUAAGCUAAUCGUCGUCCCUCCAGCAACCACCGGCGACGCCUUGGUUUGGUGAAUGGCGAGCAGCAGCGGCGUGAAAAAAAAGGAAUAGCAAGUUAGAGCCAAAACUUCAAAUGGUUCCUCCGACCAUUUCUGAUGGCCAAAUGGCCUAUCAUCGAUGGCACUAGGUUCCUGGGUGAGAGGGUUUUCUUUUCCAACAAGAAUCACAGAAAAU